rnacentral:lncRNA from 1 species
UUUUUUUUUUUUUUUUUUUUUUUUGUCUUCAGUCAGUUUUUCGAGAUUUCUAGGUAAACAGCAGCUGUUUUUGGUUAAAUACAAAUUCCAAAGCAAGACAUGGUAUGUUUAUAGAUAAUUUCUUUCUAAUUAUGAUGAAGAUGUUCCUGAGAAAUCUUACCCUAACACAAUUUGAAAUUGAAGAACUAAGAUCUUAGAGGAAAAAUGGGCUUUGAAGUGAGGAUCAAUAGACACAUGAAAGUUUAUUAGUAUUUAUAUUUGCUGAAAGGAAAUACCACAGUAAAGAAUAGUUGCAUUUUCUGAAUUAGUAAUUCAGAAAAGUUAAUUUCCAUUUACUAGCUUUUUAUUAAAAGAAAGGGUUCAGAAUUUCCUUUUGUAGCUUUCGGGAUGCUUGAAAACUCAUUUUAGGUUUUGGUAGAUGGUUUGUACACUAAGGAACAUAUUAGUGUGCUACUUAGUAUUUAGUCCACUGAAAAGUUAGGCAUCCUUGAUACUUGGAAUUAUUGUUUCUUACCUCUUAGGAUCUACGGUGGUCCCAAACAUGCUGAUUACCUUGGAUAAUAAAAUGGGAAAAGCUUUGGGUAAGUUUAUUUAACAAGUCUUUUGGAUAUCGUCUUCAGUAAUUCACAGAGUAUUGGUAAAAUUCUAAUUCUUCCUGUUGGAAACCUUGGAUCAGGAGACAGGAAGAUGCUAAGCAUUCUGAGUUGGCCCUGCUCCCACCAGUUAGGUAGGGCUUUGGAUCUUAGCACUUUCUCAGCUUUCAGACACUGGAAAUCCUUUUAAAGCCAAGUAGACUUUACCUAGAUUUCUUUUAACUCAAGAUUGCAAUUUAUUUAUUUAUUUAUUUAUUUAUUUAUUUAUUUAUUUAUUUAUUUUUAUGGCCACAUCUGUGGCAAAUGAGAGUUCCUGGGCCAGGGGUUGAAUCGGAGCUGCAGCUGUGGCCUACACUACAGUCAUGGCAACAACGGAUCUGAGCCACAUCUGUGACCUCUGCUGCAGGUUAUAGUAAUGCCAGAUCCUUAACCCACUGAGCCAGGCUAGGGGUCUAAUUGGAGCUGUAGCCAACGGCCUAAGCCAGCGUCCCAUCAACUCAGGAUCUGAGCCGCAUCUGCAACCCACGCCACAGCUCACAGCAACGCCAGAUCCUUAACCCACUGAGGAAGGCCAGGGAUCGAACCCACAGCCUCAUCGUUCCUAGUCAGAUUCGUUAACCACUGCGCCACAACGGGAACUCCUCCAACAUUACAUUUUUAAAGUCUCAGCUCUGGCUCUUCUCUGCUUUAUGGUCCAUCUCAAGGUCUCUCUUUUUUCCAGUCACCCCAACACAGAUUCUCACAAUAUUGGAAAUGAUAAAUCAUACAUAAAUUUGUAAUAGAACUUUCACAAACUAAAAUUAUCCCAGAGGACUUACUAAAUUCACAUAACAAUAAUUGUUUUUACAACUCAUAACUAAAUGCCUUUAUUUAAUGUGCUUGCUGAAAAUAAUACUUUUUUGGUCAAAAUAAUAUAGUCUGAAUAGCUAUAUUUGUUUGGUGACUCUUGGAAAGAAACUAUAAUAUGUUUAUUGAGUUAUACUUUACAGUUCAGGUCUUUUUCACCUCUUAUCACCUCUUCUUCUGUUUUAUCCUUUUCUUCUAGUUCAUUUUUAUGUGGUGAGAGUAGAUAAUAUGUUAUAUUCUUAUAGGUAACCAGAAGUAUUUUUACAACAUCUGCUAAAUACAUACUCUUCAAUAGCUAGUUAUUUUAGGCUAUAUCUUUGUUGAAACCUUUUAUUUUAACUUGCUUGAUUUAAGAUAAUGAUAACUUCACAAUUUAAAGAAUUUUCUGACGUCCUUGAGUCUGUGGUUUGUUGUCUUUCAUUUUGGAAAAUCUCAGUAGUUGUGUUUUCAGAUAAUUCUGUUGUUUUAAUUUUUUUCUUUGGGACUCCAAUUAAGUGUAUGUUAGACUAUUAUAUGUUGUCCCACAUUCGUUGGUUACCCCCUCUGGUUUAUUUAUUUAUUUUUAACACCCUUUUUACCCCUUUGUUUAACUUUGGAUAAUUUCUGUUGGCCUGUUUUAAGGUCACUGAUAAUUCUGUCAAAAGAAUCCCCCAACUUUGAAAUUGUGUUUUUAAUUUUAAUAUUGUCAUUUGGUUCUCUGUAUAGUUUCUGUAUCUCUGUUGAAAUCCCCCAUCUCUUCAUACAUAGUGUCCAGAUCCUUUAACAUUUUAAUCUUUUCCUUUAAAUCUUUUAACGUGUUAAUCAUAAUUAUUUUAGCUUUCCUGUCUGACAGUUCUAACAUCAAGGUCAUCUGUGUUUGUUUCUGUUGUUUUCUUUAUCUCUUGACCACGAGUUUGUUUUUCCUUGCUUUUUUGCAUAUCUCAUAAUUUUUGAUUGGAUGACAGAACAGUUGAGACUGAGGUAAAUGAUGUGUACGUCUGGAAAUGAGUAUGCUUCUUCUAUUAGACUAUUAGUGUGAUAGUUCGAGUCAGUUUUAUCACCAGGUGAGCUGGGUAUGGCUCUGUUGUCACUGUUGUCCCUUCAGUGCCCCAUAGACCCGAAAUUUCCCUAGUGGAAUAUUGCUGUUGCUCUGUUUUGUAAUGUUCUCAUAAUGUUAACUGUUCCCUUGGCAGCCAUCAGCAGCCUGACCGUGGUAAGGGGUGCCCUCCAUAGCGUGCUAGGUUUGCCGUGGGAGUUGGGGAGUUCUUGGUUCUCCUCCUUUGCCUUCAGUCUUAAGUAGGGCUUGGGAGUGGGGCUUUCUAAAUCUUCUACCCCUUCCCCCAGUGGCAGCUGAACUCUGCCUUGUGUCUGAGGAAGGACUUAGGCCAUUGAGUUUCCUAUCUUUUGCCCAGUGGUACCUUACUGCUUAGUUUCAGAUGGGAUCUUGGGCCAGGUGGUUUCUUGUCUUUCUCCUGGGGUAGUGAGCUUUUACUUCUACCUCUCCCUCAGAAGCUGUGGAUCUUUGCCUGGGCUCUGGGAUGGGAACAUUUCUUCACUCUAUCCCUGCUUCGUGCUUGUCUGUCAGACUGACUAGCAUGGGUUUUGGUAUAUGUCUCUUUGGCAGUGCUUUCCUUCAGGUUUUGGAUUCUCUUCUCUUAUCUUAGUACUCAUUUGUAUUCCCUAUGUCGGUCUCGACUUCCUGAUGAUAAUUGCUUGCUUCCCAGACCCUGAUCCCCAUGGUCUAACUAAAGUCCUACUCUUGUGCUCCUUCUUCAUUGUGUUCAGGUUGAGGCAUCAGCAUUACUUACGUGAGGUACUAACUGAAAAGCCAGUAAGCUUUUCAGUUGUUCUUGUGAUCCAGAAAUUGCCAAUUAUUCUAGUUAAUCUACUUGACUGUAUAUAAUACUAAACCCUCUGGACCUUGGAUUGUUGUGUAAUUUGUACCAAAAAGUCUCUAAUCAGGAUUUCAUCGUUCUCCUUAGUUGAUUUCACAACCUAAUGGUUGUUAGAGUUCUUACUCUUCAGUGCUCACCUGGGUUGUAGAGUGUAUGGUUUUGUAGAGCUUUAGUGAGAUGACCUGGGUUUAAAUUCCUGUUCCACCAUUUCUUUUGUCUGUCUGUCUGUCUAUCUCUAACAUAUUUAUUGACUACCUUCCGUUACUGUGACUGAUGGCAGCUUUAAUUUAUUGAGCACUGUUGUCGUCCUAAGUGUUUUUCUUCGGUUCACAUUUAAUCCUUCCAACAACUCUAUAAAAGCAUGUUUUGUUUUGUUUUGUUUUGUUUUUUGGAGGAAAUAUUGAGUAAUUUUUUAGGAAACUGAAGGCUGGAAUAGUUAAAAAUCAUGCCCACUACUUCUAGAUAGUAAGAGAAGCAAACCUUCUACAAAUGUUAGUAAUAUUUAUCUGGUGGAUACUUCAUAAUAUACUUAACCUCUUCCUUUGUUAUUAGAAACACACUUUUAAGUUCGAGUUUUGUAAACAGUGAUUCAGCCAGACUCCUUGGAGCUACCCGCGAUUGUUCUGAGUUCUCUUUUCCCACAUCCUGACCAUCUGUCAGUAAAUACGACGGGUUCUAACGACCCACAUAGGUUUUGAUUUUCUCUCCUUUUCUCUAUUUCCGUUGACAUCUCACUAGUCCAGGCCACCUUGACCCCUGGCUGGCAUUCCUGCAGUAGCUUCCUAACUCGUCCCCUCUGCUCUUGACCUUCCUCAGUCUGUUCGCUCAGAAGCCUGUAGAAAAGCACUUAUGAUCAUUUCCUUCCCCUCUCCAUGGCAUUCCUUUGUCAUUAUAAUAAAAUAUAAACUUUUUACCCUAGGCCACAAAUCCCUGCUUGUUCUGACCCCUGCCUGCCUCUCCAGAUUGCUUUCUUUUUACCAUUUGACCCCCACUGAUUUCCUUUCUGCUACUAGAAUAUGCCAGACUCUUUCCCUGGUUUCUGAGUCUUGGCAUUUGCAGUUUCUCGUCUUUACUGUUCCUCUGUUCCUCAUCAGCUUUUUGCCUGACCAACUUUAGUGUUUAGUUGUGUAUCUUUCUCAGAAAGACCUUUUUUGGUGACCGCCUCCUUCCCUCCUCUCCUCAGUAAACACACAAAGCACUUUUGACACUUAGAUACACUUACAACUAGAUAUUUUCAUAUUAAUGCAUUUAUUAACUUGCUAUGUGUACUUACCCAUAGAAAUAUAAGUUCCUAAAGAAUCAGAUUCUUGUCUGUCUUGCUUGUAUAUUACCUAAAUAGUGGCUGGUGUGUCUUGGAUAAUCCAUACAACUUUUUGAAUGAUCAAUAUCUUGAUUCAUACCUUUUGUACACAAAUCUUUUUCUGUAUUUUGAUCCCUCCACCCCAACUCCUGCCAGGCUAGAAAGCUAAAGUAGAAUUAAGCUAAAGGAAAUGUUCAAUGUAUUUUUAACCAUAUAUGCUAAUUUAAACAUUUCAAAAACGGUUCACUCUCUUUAUUUAGAUCUUAUGAUACUUAAAAUGGGUGCUGUGCCAUCUCAGUUUUCAUUGUUUUAUAUAGCUUUUUUUUUUUUUAAGUGUAGCAAAGACAGUAAAACAAAUUUCAUCCUCAGAACCACUCUGGUAUUGUUCUUUUUUUAUAUAUAAUAUUAUUCUAUGUAUAUAGUUGUAGUCCUUUUAGAUAGAGUUUUGCAUCUUGCUUUUUAAAAUUAACACGUUCUGAGCUUUUUCGUGAUUAUUAAUUGGAAUAGAAGAUAUAUUUACUUGUUCUUGUCUACAUCCUCAUCGUUAAAUAGACUGUCUUCAGUUUUUCUGUUAAAAAUAUGGUUAUAAACACUUAUGCACAUAAAUCUUUUAGGCAUUUUGGAUUUUAAGGGUACAUUCCCCAAAGCAUACUAUUAGAUUAAAAGGUAUGACUAUUUUAAGAUUUAAAAAAUAUAUGACUGGCAGUAUAUAUAAUUUGCCUAAUGCAUGUAUUCCUGCCAGAUUGCUUUCUGGAAGUGUUGUGUUUUUGAGGGCCCAUCGGUGUUUUCACUGAAAAAGAAUCUUUGCUAUUUUGGGUGAAACAUCAUAUUUCACUUCUUUAUGAGAGUUUGAAUGUUUUCCCCUUUGUGUAUUGUUAAACCUGUUGUCCCCUGUGAUCAGAAGUUUGAGUGGAUUGGAGUGAUCCUGACAGCAAAUCUCUUCUGUUAAACUGAUGCGAGGAUGAAGCCUGAUUCUUUCCUGACAUUCCAUUAUUGUGACUCUGAUGGAAGUGUGAUAUCAUUCAAAGGAUUGAGCUUUCUGGUAGAUUAAAUGUGCUUCCAUUUUCACCAAUUCUGUUAAAGUUUCAGAUGUUGGUAGGUUUUUUUCCCCCUCCUUAAAAUUCUAGUUUAAUCUGGAAACCUAGUUUCUUGAAUUUCUUGAAUUUAACAACUCAAAUUUCUGACCGGUAAGUUACUAUGCAUAUUACAAAUGUUUGCCUUUAUUUUCUUUUGCAAGUUCCUCUUGAAUAUUCACUCCUCUCUAAGCGGUGAGGUCCAUGAUAACCUAAUUGCAAAAUUAGUCUGAAGUUGGUGUUAUUCAUCUCUUUUUAUGGCUGAACUAUAUACCAUGCAAAUCCGGGAAUUGUGUGUCUCUUCCACCCUGGGGACUGGUGAUCAGAGAAAACUGCAGAGUGAGAAAGAGAGGGUUGGGAGUGAAGACAGGCAUGGAAUAAAGGAAAAAUUAGGUUUUAGAAUAAUGUAAACCUACCUUUUAAUCAUGUAUCAUUUACUAAAAAAGUUUUUGUGCCUUUCUUGGGGAAAAAAGGAGAAGAUAAUUCCUGUCUUUUCAGGUCACAGCAGGAAUUAAAUUUUAAAGCAUGUUUAUAAAGCAUGUACAUACCUGUGCUGUGUCGUGUAGUAUUUGGUGUUCAGUAAUUGGCUGUUUUUUCCCUCGGGAAAUAGAGGGAGUGUCGCAGUGUCUGGGAAGACUGUAUUGUAUAAACACAGGUGUGAGUUGUACCAGCGUAUGUUACAACAUUGAGAUGCCCAACAUAUGUAGUAAGUUACACUGUGGUGGGCAAAGCAUUUUAACAGAUUUAUUCUCUGUAACCAAGCUGUAGUGGAAAUAGAAUUAUAUCAUUAAAAAAGGUAUGAAAGGGAGUUCCUGUCGUGGUGCAGAGGAAACGAAUCCACCUAGGAACCAUGAGGUUGUGGGUUCGACCCCUGGCCUUGCUCAGUGGGUUAAGGAUCUGGUGUUAACGUGAGCUGUGGUGUAGGUCGAAAACGUGGCUUGGAUCCCACAUUGCUGUGGCUGUGGUGUAGGCUGGUGGCUACAGCUCUGAUUAGACCUCUAGCCUGGGAACCUCCAUAUGCCUCGGGUGCAGCCCUAAAAA